UGGGACACUUGGGGAGUAUGCAUGGUUUUCUACCAGUGUGUGUUACAAAAUAUAGCGUGGACACUUUGGAAUGUAUGGAAUGCAGAGUCCAAGUUUAGAGUAUUGCAGCACACAAACUGAUAUUACUUUCAACUCGAGUCUGCUCUCAAAUAUAUCAACUUAGUUUGGGAAAGAAAUCACCCCAGAACGAAAGCCAACAGCAGAAUGAAAAGAACGCUUUGGCAUGUGUGGAGCUUUCAACAGGGGAACUCAAACUAUUUAAAAAAAUGGAAUUAAACAGGCUGUGUUCUACAUUUUUUUAUCUGCUUUUUUUGUGCGUGCUUGUUUUGUACUUUUUGUAACAUUUCUAGAUUGCUGUGCCGUGUACAUU